GGAUAACUACUCGAAAGAGUGGCUAAUACCGCAUACGCCCUACGGGGGAAAGGGGGGGAUCGCAAGACCUCUCACUAUUGGAGCGGCCGAUAUCGGAUUAGCUAGUUGGUGGGGUAAAGGCUCACCAAGGCAACGAUCCGUAGCUGGUUUGAGAGGACGACCAGCCACACUGGGACUGAGACACGGCCCAGACUCCUACGGGAGGCAGCAGUGGGGAAUUUUGGACAAUGGGGGAAACCCUGAUCCAGCCAUCCCGCGUGUAUGAUGAAGGCCUUCGGGUUGUAAAGUACUUUUGGCAGAGAAGAAAAGGUAUCUCCUAAUACGAGAUACUGCUGACGGUAUCUGCAGAAUAAGCACCGGCUAACUACGUGCCAGCAGCCGCGGUAAUACGUAGGGUGCAAGCGUUAAUCGGAAUUACUGGGCGUAAAGCGUGUGUAGGCGGUUCGGAAAGAAAGAUGUGAAAUCCCAGGGCUCAACCUUGGAACUGCAUUUUUAACUGCCGAGCUAGAGUAUGUCAGAGGGGGGUAGAAUUCCACGUGUAGCAGUGAAAUGCGUAGAUAUGUGGAGGAAUACCGAUGGCGAAGGCAGCCCCCUGGGAUAAUACUGACGCUC
rnacentral:rRNA from 1 species